CUUUAUAUAUUUAAUAAGUUGAAUUUUGUUUUAAGUUAAAAUUCUUAAAUAAUUUUAAAAGACGAGAAGACCCUAUAGAAUUUUAUAAAAUUUUAUCUUAUUAAUAUGAAUUUAUUUAAAAUUAGUUAAUAUUUAAUUUUAUUUUAUUGGGGUUAUAAAAAAAUUUAAUUAAAUUUUUUAGUUGGUGAAUUAUUAAUAAAUUUAUUUUUAAAAAUUAUUAUUUAUAUAAUUAAAUUAAAUUACCUUAGGGAUAACAGCGCAAUAUUUUUUAUAAGUUCAUAUUGGUAAAAAUGU
rnacentral:rRNA from 1 species